rnacentral:rRNA from 1 species
UACGUAGGGUGCGAGCGUUGUCCGGAAUUAUUGGGCGUAAAGAGCUUGUAGGCGGUUUGUCGCGUCUGCCGUGAAAUUUCGAGGCUCAACCUCGAACUUGCGGUGGGUACGGGCAGACUAGAGUGUGGUAGGGGAGACGUGGAAUUCCUGGUGUAGCGGUGAAAUGCGCAGAUAUCAAGGAGGAACACCGAUGGCGAAGGC